AAUCAACGCUGGCGGCGUGCCUAACACAUGCAAGUCGAACGCGGUUACCCCGCAAGGGGUGGCUGAGUGGCGAACGGGUGAGUAACACGUGGGUGACCUACCUUCGAAUGAGGGAUAACGUCCCGAAAGGGACGCUAAUACCGCAUAACAUCCUGCUUUUGAACAGGUGGAGAUCAAAGCCGGGGUCGCAAGACCUGGCGUUUGAAGAGGGGCCCGCGUCUGAUUAGCUAGUUGGUGAGGUAACGGCUCACCAAGGCGACGAUCAGUAUCCGGCCUGAGAGGGCGGACGGACACACUGGGACUGAGACACGGCCCAGACUCCUACGGGAGGCAGCAGUGGGGAAUUGUUCGCAAUGGGCGCAAGCCUGACGACGCAACGCCGCGUGGAGGAUGAAGGUCUUCGGAUUGUAAACUCCUGUUGCUCGGGACGAAUAGCUCCGACCUAAUACGUCGGAGUCUGACGGUACCGGGUGAGGAAGCCCCGGCUAACUCUGUGCCAGCAGCCGCGGUAAUACAGAGGGGGCAAGCGUUGUUCGGAAUUACUGGGCGUAAAGGGCGCGUAGGCGGCCUUCUAAGUCGAACGUGAAAUCCCUGGGCUCAACCCAGGAACUGCGUCCGAGACUGAAAGGCUUGAAUCCGGGAGAGGGAUGUGGAAUUCCAGGUGUAGCGGUGAAAUGCGUAGAUAUCUGGAGGAACAUCGGUGGCGAAGGCGGCAUCCUGGACCGGUAUUGACGCUGAGGCGCGAAAGCCAGGGGAGCAAACGGGAUUAGAUACCCCGGUAGUCCUGGCCCUAAACGAUGAAUGCUUGGUGUGGCGGGUAUCGAUCCCUGCCGUGCCGAAGCUAACGCAUUAAGCAUUCCGCCUGGGGAGUACGGUCGCAAGGCUG
rnacentral:rRNA from 1 species